UUGUACGUGUGGGUCCAGAUUCUUUUUCUUCUCAGAAGAUGAUGGGAUUUGAUAAGAAGGUGCCGGGAUUUGGUGGAUGAGGGGCUCAAGGUGAAAGGGGCUGGUGGAAAGGAUGAUGGAGAUUGAAGAUGAACUGAUGAUGAUUUUGAUGGAGGUUUCGACAUUCUUCCAUGGUUCCAGAUGUUUUACUGGAAACAUUAACCUUUACCGACCAUCAUUUCAGGCUAUGAUCAAUGGAAGAUUUGUGAGAGCUACGCACAUUGUAACAGCUAUGAUCCUAUGGAUGAAAGACAUUUAGGUUUUUCUUUUGUUGCUCAUUACCCUGCUAUGAUUUGUGUAAGGAUCCUUGCACUGUAAUUGAUUUAUGCAAUAGGCCAUCGUACUACAAUAAGAAGGUUUAUUCACUAAAUAAGGUUGAAUACUCGGUGGCAGAUCAGUAAAUUACAUAGUUAAUGACCAUGAUUUUUAUUUACCUCUUUGGAAAAGAAGGAAUGAUGUAGCUAAUAGCAUCUAGGGAUAAAAAUCCAGAGAAGACUUUAAAUUCCUUUUUUUCUUAUUCUUUGUAAAUGCUUCUUUUUCCCCCUGUCUGCAUUAUGGUUCUACAUUUGUUGAUGGGAUUAUAAGAGUCCGUGUUGGAAUUAUAAGAUGGUUGGUUUCUAUCCUAUUUGGACUAACAAGCAUGAUUACAAUUUGACAAAUGGUUGUGCUUCUAGAAAUUGACAAACAUGGAAUGCUAUUCAAGGUAUUAGCUCUGGCUCUGCAGUAUGGUGUAAACUAGACACAGUUCUUCAACUGGAUAUACUAAUGAAAAGCACUGUAGAUUUUUAUUCUCCUUUCUUUUUCUUCUUAGUGUCUUUUUGUUCCUGCAUAUACAUGAUUUAAGCAUAUUGCAAAUUGUUAAAUGGUGGUUAAGUUU